ACUGGGUGAUGGUCUCGGUUCGUCCAUCACACUCACGGCUGCUGGAUCCUGAUGGUCUCAGAUCAAACCCCCCGGGGAAGAUGGGCCGGGCAAUCCAUCAUCCAUCCGAACCUUCGAGCCGGUUGCGGCAAAGGUCUAGUCUGACUCCAGGGACCAGAGAUGGAGGGGAGCUUGCCACAGCCCCCAUGCCAUUCUGCUGAGGGGCACCCCUGCCCGGUGCCAGGCUGACGUCCACACCAUCCUGCUGUUCCCACCAGCUGAGCUGACCGCCUGCUGCCAAGCACUCAGAGAACUGACUCUGGCCCAUCUUCUUGCAGCCGGGCUGCUGGGCACCUCCCCUGGAUGCAUACUCCUGCUCUUGAAGAAAAAUUCCUAACAAUUCCCUGUAAAGGAGGUGUCAUUGGAAAUGACAGCUUUUUUUUUUUUUUUUUUUUUGAGACAGGGUCUUGCCCUGUCACCCAGGCUGGAGUACAGUGGUAUAAUCAUAGCUCACUUCAGCUCAACCUCUUGGGCUCAAGUGA
rnacentral:lncRNA from 1 species